GUUAUCUCAGCAACCAAACAAACAGCUAAAAGCAAACUUUAGUGAAACGAUUCCAUAAAAACUCGAUUCAACUAACAAUAAACCAGAAACCCAAACUCCAACCACUUCAAAAUUAACCAAAUUUUUUAGUCUAACCCAUUGUUUGGAUCUCCUAAACUACACUUAGUUCAGAUUAGAAUUUCACUUUAUCCCAUUAAAAGCCGGUUAAAACAUAAAGACAUUAAAUUUAAGACUUCAUUCUUUUUUUUUUUCUCCUUCAAUUCUCCUCAGAUUCUUGACGGCCAACAAUUAUAACUAAACAAUAACAGAAAUCCUAUACCAAUAAAAUAAAAUUAAAUAUUAAAAAAUUGAAAAUUAAUUACCAUUCUUUUAACCAUUUAGCAGC
rnacentral:misc_RNA from 1 species